UGUCCCUCCCGGCCCCAUCCUGUGGCAGCCAGGUGGGCGGCGGCAUCUGUUGGCAGCUCUGGGUCAGGGGCGUCCACUGGCUCCCCCGGCAGGUCUUGGUGGGAGGGCGAGUCAGGCACUCUGUUCCCAGGAGGGGAUGGCGGAUCUUGGGCUUAAUGAUGGGCCUGCAGUACUGGCAAAGCGGGGAUCACUCUGCCUGCUGGGCAAUGUCCUAAGGAACCCAGCUGAGCUGCAGUUAUGGAGGUAGAUUUCCUGCUCUUUUCCACAUCUCAGGAUUAAUCCAGAAGCCUGAGCAGUGCGUGUGGUGAGGCUCAGCAAAGUGGCUGUGGGCAUCUCCAGCCUCCUUUGGAAGCCCCGCUUUUCCUCUGGAGUAGGUGCCCUGGAAUCUGGGCCAGCCGUACACAUUUCAGCAACUCGAUUACAAGAGACAGAAGAGGCCGGGUGUGUGGCACCAAGAAAACCGCACACACCCUGUACUUCUCUCUGCCUGUUGCUGGUUUGUGCAUUUCCCCACCACACCUCCCGAGAGCAGUUUGUUUCCCGGAAGCAGCAGAAGAGAGGUCGGGAGAAGGAGAUGCCUUAUUGUUGUGAAUGUGAUGGACGUGGUGGCGCCACAGGGGACUGGACACCAAGGCAAAGACUCCAGUGUCUGAUGAACUUACUGGUUGAACUUACCGCUUACUGGUCUUUGGCAGGUGCUGGAAAUCAAGCAGUAAACAGAACAGUCUCUCCUCUUCGGAUGUUAAUAGUCUAACAUGGGAAGAUGGAAAACUCAGCAAUGACAUCUGUGUCAGAAUCCUGUUUUGGUGGUGCAGCUCUUGGGAUCAGUGCUCUGAGCACCCAGCAGAAGAGGCUCUGAAUGCUUCGGGCUCAGUUAGUCAAGCACCGUGAGCUGCAACAGGGAACAUACAGACAGGAGGCUACAAUCCUGUUUUGGUGGUGCAGCUCUUGGGAUCAGUGCUCUGAGCACCCAGCAGAAGAGGCUCUGAAUGCUUCGGGCUCAGUUAGUCAAGCACCGUGAGCUGCAACAGGGAACAUACAGACAGGAG